GAGUUUGAUCCUGGCUCAGAUUGAACGCUGGCGACAUGCCUUACACAUGCAAGUCGAACGGCAGCACGGGAGCUUGCUCCUGGUGGCGAGUGGCGAACGGGUGAGUAAUGCAUCGGAACGUAUCCUGGAGUGGGGGAUAACGUAGCGAAGUUACGCUAAUACCGCAUAUUCUGUGAGCAGGAAAGCGGGGGACCUUCGGGCCUCGCGCUCUUGGAGCGGCCGAUGUCGGAUUAGCUAGUUGGUGAGGUAAAGGCUCACCAAGGCGACGAUCCGUAGCAGGUCUGAGAGGAUGAUCUGCCACACUGGAACUGAGACACGGUCCAGACUCCUACGGGAGGCAGCAGUGGGGAAUAUUGGACAAUGGGCGAAAGCCUGAUCCAGCCAUGCCGCGUGUGUGAAGAAGGUCUUCGGAUUGUAAAGCACUUUAAGUUGGGAGGAAGGGCAGUUACCUAAUACGUGAUUGUUUUGACGUUACCGACAGAAUAAGCACCGGCUAACUCUGUGCC
rnacentral:rRNA from 1 species